AUGUUUUCCAAAUGCAGGGUCAAAACAAUGCUCUGGAAGAAAAUUAUCCACAAUACUUUUGUGAUAUUCUUUGAUAGCAGUGAAUCAACAGCACCCAUGGAAACAACAUGCUUUUGGGAGGAAAAUAAGCUUUUACCAACAACAGUGGUCCAGUUCUGGACAAAUAAAUUCAACCUGUAGAUGAUUCUACAGGAUGUUUGGGAGGUUGUUAAAUAAAUAUUAGUAUGUGGAUUUGGUUUUGAAGGUGAGUUAGACUCCACAGGUAAUGUAAAAUAAGAACCAUUAUUUUAAAGAUAAUAGAUUAAACAAAAGAUUGAAACAAUACAACAUUCUUGGGGAACCUAUGGCUUUUGGAGAUACGUCUGGGACAAAAGGAAAUGAGGAGGCGUAAAAGAGGGCAAGAAGAUAGGAUUGGGCUAGAAGAGAAUAGAACACUGUCCUUGAUUUUUUUAUAGGUAAUUGGAAAUUUUUUGAUUUUUUUUACUGUAGUAAAAUUACCACUAUUCAUUUACAAAACUUUUUCAUCAUCUGAAACAGAAUUUCUGUACCCCUUUAAACAAUAACUCCCUACUCCUCACUCCCCCUAGCUUCUGGCAAACUCUAUUAUAUGUUCUAUCUCUAUAAAUUUGGCUAUUCUAGGUACCCAACAUAAGUGGAAGCAUAGAAAAUGUGUACUUUUGCAUCUGGUUUAUUUCAUGUAACUCAGUGUUUUCAAGAUUCAUCCAUGUUGUAGCAUGUAUUAGAAUUUGAUUCUUUUUAAUUUUGGAUAGUAUUUCAUUCUUUAUCCAUGCAUCUGUUGAUAAACCUCUGGAUUGUUUCUACCUUUGAGCUACUAUGAAUAAUGUUGCUUGAACAUUGGUAUGCAAGUAUUUAUUUGAGUCCUUGCUUUUAAUUAUUACCUAAAAGUAGAGUAUAUACCUAAAAGUGGAGUUGCUGGCUGAUACUGUAAUGCUAUGUUUAACUUUUUGAGGAGCUACCGUACUGUUUUCACAACAGUUGCAUGAUUUCAUGUUGUCACCAGCAACACAAGCAAUGCACAAUAGUUCCAAUUUCUCCACAUUGUAGCCUACAAUAGUUAUUUUUCCUUUCAUUAUAGCCAUCCUAGUGGGGGUAAAGUCAUGUCUUUUUGUGGUUUUGAUAUUCGAUUCCCUGAUAACCAGUGAUAUCAAGCAUCUUUUUGUGUGCUUUUUGGCCAUUUAUAUAUCUUCUUUGGAAAAAAUGUCAUUCAAGUUCUUUUCUCAUUUUUGAAUUGGUUUUAAGCUGCUGAGUUGUAGUUUUUCUUUACAUAUUCUAGAUGUUAAUCCAUUGUGAGAUAAAUAAUUUGCAAAGAUUUUUUCCCAUUCUAGUGGUUGACCCAUUGAUAGUGUCCUUUGCUGUACAAAAGUUUUCAAUUGUAAUGAAGUGUAAUUUAUCUAUUUUUCUUUUGUUGCCUCAUUUUAGUGUCAUAUAAAGGUAAUUGGAGAUUUUCACUGGAGGAGUGAUAUAACUCAAUUUGGAUAUUAGAAUCCCUUAAAUAAAACAGUGCAGGAUGAUUUAAAAACAGAAGAACUCAAAAUAGAAAGACAAAUUUAUAAGCAACGGCAAAAGGUAAGCAGAUUGAAAAGUCACAAUUCUCCCUUGCCCCAUCUUCAAUAUCUUAUAAAAUGAAUAACAAAAAUACAAAUGAGAAACAAUUUAUCUGCAGAAAUCAUAUACCAUACAUUAUGCCACAAAAUACUUUAAAAAGUGUCCAUUUAGGAAAUAACGUUGAAAAUUUGGGUGCAGCUUAAGCAGCUACACACCUUAUACGUACUCCCCUUAUCAUCAUGAAGAGGUAUUAGAUAAUGGAAAUGAAUCAAGAAAACCCUGAAUUCUCAUUAAUAACUCCCAGAUUGAAACUAAGAAGAAAUGGUCUGAUUAAGCAGUCAAUUGAAUAAUGAUAGGAAAUCCUAUAAAUAGAAAUUUCUACUUAGAAUUCUUAUAACCUCAUCAGAAUCAGUAAAAUUCUGUAGGACUCCCCAUUUCCAAGCUUCACGGUGAAGUUAUGAAAUAAUCUGAAGAUCAGUUUAAUCUAUCCCAUAAGAUAAUGAUAACCCUCCUCCCCUACUCUCCUGCAGGUAGAGAAAAUAUUUAGCCAACCUUUAAAAGAGACAUAAAACCAGGCUCUACAACAAAGGGCACACACUGUCCUAAUGGCAUAUAUGUCUUCUUUCUCCCUUCUGUUCUCAGGUUAAAAAGUACAAAAAUAAAGAAAAUAUUUG
rnacentral:lncRNA from 1 species